GACGAACGCUGGCGGCGUGCUUAACACAUGCAAGUCGAACGGGAACCUUUAUUUCGGUAAAGGUGAGAGUGGCAAACGGGUGAGUAACACGUAGGCAACCUGCCGACAGGAUGGGGACAACAUUCCGAAAGGAAUGCUAAUACCGAAUGGAGUCCGGAGAUGGCAUCAUCUCUGGAUAAAAGAUGGCCUCUGAAUAUGCUAUCGCCUGUCGAUGGGCCUGCGUCUGAUUAGCCAGUUGGCGGGGUAACGGCCCACCAAAGCGACGAUCAGUAGCCGGUCUGAGAGGAUGAACGGCCACAUUGGGACUGAGACACGGCCCAGACUCCUACGGGAGGCAGCAGUGGGGAAUCUUCCACAAUGGGCGAAAGCCUGAUGGAGCAACGCCGCGUGAGUGAAGAAGGUCUUCGGAUCGUAAAGCUCUGUUGCACGGGACGAAAACCGGGUUUGAGAAUAUUGAACUU
rnacentral:rRNA from 1 species